rnacentral:rRNA from 1 species
UACGGGGGGGGCAAGCGUUGUUCGGAAUUACUGGGCGUAAAGGGCGCGUAGGCGGUUGGAUAAGUCAGCUGUGAAAACCACGAGCUUAACUCGUGGCCUGCAGUUGAGACUGUCUGGCUUGAGUGUGGGAGAGGAGAGUGGAAUUCCUGGUGUAGCGGUGAAAUGCGUAGAUAUCAGGAGGAACACCGGUGGCGAAGGCGGCAUCCUGGACCGGCAUUGACGCUGAGGCGCGAAAGCCAGGGGAGCAAACGGG